rnacentral:rRNA from 1 species
UACGGGGGGGGCAAGCGUUGUUCGGAAUUACUGGGCGUAAAGGGCUCGUAGGCGGCCAACUAAGUCAGACGUGAAAUCCCUCGGCUUAACCGGGGAACUGCGUCUGAUACUGGAUGGCUUGAGUUCGGGAGAGGGAUGCGGAAUUCCAGGUGUAGCGGUGAAAUGCGUAGAUAUCUGGAGGAACACCGGUGGCGAAAGCGGCUUCCUGGUCCAGUACCGACGUCAGGCACGAAAGCGUGGGGAGCAAACAGG